UACGAAGGGGGCUAGCGUUGCUCGGAAUUACUGGGCGUAAAGCGCACGUAGGCGGCUUUCUAAGUCGGGGGUGAAAUUCUGGAGCUCAACUCCAGAACUGCCUUCGAUACUGGAGAGCUCGAGUCCGGGAGAGGUGAGUGGAACUGCGAGUGUAGAGGUGAAAUUCGUAGAUAUUCGCAAGAACACCAGUGGCGAAGGCGGCUCACUGGCCCGGUACUGACGCUGAGGUGCGAAAGCGUGGGGAGCAAACAGG
rnacentral:rRNA from 1 species